rnacentral:lncRNA from 1 species
UCUCUCUCUCUCUCUCUCUCUCUCUCUCUCUCUCUCUCUCUCUCUUUUGCGCCAUCUUCCUCUUUUGUGGUUGAUGAUGCGUCCUCGUCACCAGAAAGAGGAAGAUGGCGCAGAGGAUGGAAGGGGUCGGCUUCAGACUCACAAGAUGGCGCAAAAGGAAGAUGUAAAGGGUCGAUUUCGGAUCUGUAAGUCCCGUUUCGCAUUUGCUUGCAAUUUCAUUUUUGAAUCUUCUUUCUUUAUAACCAAUUGGUUCAAGUUUCAAUCUUUUCUAAAUCUCCUUUCUUAUAACCAAUUCGUUCAAGUUUCAAUCUUUUCUUGAAGUGCGGCCUCUCCAGAUUCAGAUUUGGGCGGAAAGUUGGUCUGAUCUGUAAGUCUCAUUUCGCACCAACACAUAUCCGACGCAGAUCUUUAAGUUCCUUUAUUGGGCCGGUGUUUUCGGCCUAUAAAGGUUUAUUAGGCCUAUUGGUCCAAUUGUUGUUUUUAAUUUCUUUCUUGUUGUAAAUAUUAUAAUAUAUGUGGAUGUCCUUGUAAAUACUUAUUAGUUAUGUCCUUAAUAUGUAAAUCAUACUCCUAUAUAAAGGUGCCUAAUGAGAAUGAAAGUGACACUUCUUCCUCCUCCUACAUUUUGUUCUUCUCUUUUCUCUCUAUCUCAUUCUUAGUUUAUAACACGUUAUCAGCACGAUUUCGCUCAUUCGUUCCAUAAACUCCAUGACGAUCUAUGAGAUAUUGGUGCAACUUUUGUUGCUUAUUAUCCAUACUCACGAUCUAUGAGUUCACUUCUAUUUUGAUUAUAUCUUGUCUACAUAUAUACUUUGUUUAUAUUACUCAAUUUUAUGUUUACAAUUGCUUAUAUUAGUGAGCCUGAAGUUUCGCUAAUAAUUCUCAAAUAUGAACUUUUUGAGAUUAUGAACCUGAAGUUCAAAUAUUACAGUAGACUUGCAAUUCUAAUUGUUUGCAUAAACCUGAAGUUUUGUGCAUGUACAUGUGAUCCAUUGUUCACAAAAUUCGAACCUGAAGUUUCGAUAUUGAUAUUACUUUCUAUAUNNNNNNNNNNNNNNNNNNNNCUCUCUCUCUCUCUCUCUCUCUCUCUCUCUCUCUCUCUCUCUCUCUCUCUCUCUCUCUCUCUCUCUCUCUCUCUCUCCUGUGUCAUCUUCCUCUUUUGUGGUUGAUGAUGCGUCCUCACCACCAGAAAGAGGAAGAUGGCGCAGAGGAUGGAAGGGGUUGGCUUUGGACUCACAAGAUGGCGCAGAAGGAAGAUGUAAGGGGUCGAUUUCGGAUCUGUAAGUCUUGUUUCGCAUCUACUUGCGAAGUCGUUUUUGAAUCUUCUUUCUUUAUAACCAAUUGGUUCAAGUUUCAAUGUUUUCUAAAUCUCCUUUCUUUUUGUAACCAAUUCGUUCAAGUUUCAAUAUUUUCUCGGAGUGCGGCCGCUCUAGAUUCAGAUUUGGGCUAAAAAUUGGUCGGAUCUGUAAGUCUCAUUUCGCACCAGCACAGAUCCGACGCAGAUCUCUGCGUUCCUUUAUUGGGCCAGUGUUUUCGGCCUAUAAAGGUUUAUUGGGCCUGUUGGUCCAAUUGUUGUUUUUAAUUUCUUUCUUAUUAUUUUUUUAAAAUACAACAUCAUUAUUGUUUUUUGUGUUCUGGGCCCGUAGGUAUUGGGCUCGGGCUUGGGCCUGUCUGGUAUUUUUAAUUUCUUUUUGUAAAAAUAAAAUCAAAAUACAUUGGGCUUCAGAAAGCUCCAACUUUUGUUAUAUGGGCAUGUUGGGUUGUUGUGUCCAUAUUGAAGGGAGGUAUGUUUUACCCUUGUUACCCUAGUUGCUCACUAUAAAUGUUAACUCCUUUCUCCUGAGCCUUCAACCCCAUUCUGUUAUGGUUAUUUCCUCUCUCCCUCUCUCUCUCUCUUAUCUCAUCUGUUACUCUGUAUUUCUUUCUCUCACUGUUUUUAGUUACUCUCUAACUUUUCUCUUCUUGUUUUUGGUAAAACAGCAAUGAACAGAGAUAGAACAAGGGAGGGAGCAACACAAUGUGAUUCAUUUCGAAGUCAAAAAAGUAGUUAGUAGCUUAGCAGCUUAGCAAGGCCGAAAAUGCUCCAAAAGCCACAUGUUGAAUGAAAAGGCAAGUGUUAAAAGAAAAAAUCUUUCAUCUUUGGAGCAAUUGAGUUGGUAAAAUCAUGUCUUUUGUGGUAAAAUCAAGCUUUCAUCUCUCUCUCUCNNNNNNNNNNNNNNNNNNNNUUUUAUGUUUACAAUUGCUUAUAUUAGUGAGCCUGAAGUUUCGCUAAUAAUUCUCAAAUAUGAACUUUUUGAGAUUAUGAACCUGAAGUUCAAAUAUUACAGUAGACUUGCAAUUCUAAUUGUUUGCAUAAACCUGAAGUUUUGUGCAUGUACAUGUGAUCC